ensembl:lncRNA
CCCUGUAAACUGCAUUUUCCUCAUUAAGAAACCAGAGCAAAGGAUAAAUACUUGCCAGUUGUCUCACCUUAAAAGAGAAUCUCAGGAGAUCAGCAGUAUGUCUGCACAGAAACCACAGCUGCUUUAGCAGUACAUUUACCUCUGAAUUCAGCAUCUCAUCAAAUCUAGGUGUACUUACACUGGAUUUCAAAUCUAAGCAUGGUUGGUGGUAUUUCACACAGAUAAUCCAAAUCUGACUGAUUAUAAAAACACUAUCUCCCUUUACUCAUCUUAAUAAAGCCCAAAGCAUGAAAAACA